rnacentral:sRNA from 1 species
GCUGAUGCUGUUUUCUCAGCAAUGGAUUUGGCAUUUGCAAUUGACCUAUGUAAAGAAGAAGGUGGAGGACAGGUCGAACUCAUUCCUAAUGGUGUAAAUAUACCAGUCACUCCACAGAAUGUAUAUGAGUAUGUGCGGAAAUAUGCAGAACACAGAAUGUUGGUAGUUGCAGAACAGCCCUUACAUGCAAUGAGGAAAGGUCUACUAGAUGUGCUUCCAAAAAAUUCAUUAGAAGAUUUAACAGCAGAAGAUUUUAGGCUUUUGGUAAAUGGCUGCGGUGAAGUCAAUGUCCAAAUGCUGAUCAGUUUUACCUCUUUCAAUGAUGAAUCAGUCCUAUGGUCUAGGAAUAGGCUUUUUAGCUGUGACUGUACAUUAGAAGCUCCAAGAAGUUCUCUGUGAAAGGAUUAUACCUAUAUUCCAAGAUUAUUAUGUACACAAAGGAGAAAAUGCUGAGAAGCUUCUGCAGUUCAAGCGUUGGUUCUGGUCAAUAGUAGAGAAGAUGAGCAUGACAGAACGACAAGAUCUUGUUUACUUUUGGACAUCAAGCCCAUCACUGCCAGCCAGUGAAGAAGGAUUCCAGCCUAUGCCCUCAAUCACAAUAAGACCACCAGAUGACCAACAUCUUCCUACUGCAAAUACUUGCAUUUCUCGACUUUACGUCCCACUCUAUUCCUCUAAACAGAUUCUCAAACAGAAAUUGUUACUCGCCAUUAAGACCAAGAAUUUUGGUUUUGUGUAGAGUAUAAAAAAUGUGUAUUGCUGUGUAAUAUUACUAGCGAAUUUUGUAGAUUUUUUUCCAUUUGUCUAUAAAAGUUUAUGGAAGUUAAUGCUGUCAUACCCCCCGGUGGUACCUUAAAGAGAUAAAAUGCAGACAUUCCUUGCUGAGUUUAUAGCUUAAAGGCCUAAGGAGCACUAGCAACAUUUGGUUAUAUUGGUUUGCUAGUCACCAACUUCUGGGUCUAACCCCAGCCAAAGAUGACAGCAGAACAACAUAAUUUACACUGUGAUUUAUCUUUUUGCUGAGGGGGAAAAAAUGUAAAUGUUCUGAAAAUUCACUGCUGCCUUUGUGGAAACUGUUUCAGCAAAGGUUCUUG